rnacentral:rRNA from 1 species
GACGAACGCUGGCGGCGUGCUUAACACAUGCAAGUCGAACGGAAAGGCCCUGCUUUUGUGGGGUGCUCGAGUGGCGAACGGGUGAGUAACACGUGAGUAACCUGCCCUUGACUUUGGGAUAACUUCAGGGAACUGGGGCUAAUACCGGAUAGGAGCUCCUGCUGCAUGGUGGGGGUUGGAAAGUUUCGGCGGUUGGGGAUGGACUCGCGGCUUAUCAGCUUGUUGGUGGGGUAGUGGCUUACCAAGGCUUUGACGGGUAGCCGGCCUGAGAGGGUGACCGGCCACAUUGGGACUGAGAUACGGCCCAGACUCCUACGGGAGGCAGCAGUGGGGAAUAUUGCACAAUGGGCGGAAGCCUGAUGCAGCAACGCCGCGUGCGGGAUGACGGCCUUCGGGUUGUAAACCGCUUUCGCCUGUGACGAAGCGUGAGUGACGGUAAUGGGUAAAGAAGCACCGGCCAACUACGUG